CCGGGCGGGGGCGGCGGCGGAAGGUGGACGUGGAGAAGCCAUGGAACAAGCAGUGCGAUGCGAUUGAGGAGGAGGGGCUGCUGGACGAGGAUGAUGAGCGCGGCGGCGGGAUUCCGAGGAGGUGUUACUUUCCGCUGUUUGUGAUGGCGUUUGUCGCGUUGUUCUCGUUUUUUGCGCUUGUGCUGUGGGGGGCGAGUCGGUCACAGAAGCCGCAUAUUGUGAUGAAGAGUAUUACAUUCAAGAACUUCAACAUACAAGCUGGUAGCGAUGCCUCUGGUGUACCAACCGACAUGGCCUCCCUCAACUCAACGGUGAAGAUGACUUAUCGCAACACUGGUACUUUUUUCGGUGUCCAUGUUGCCUCUACUUCCGUCAAUCUCGCCUACUACCAACUCACAUUGGCCAGCGGAGAUAUGAAUGUAUUCUACCAACGGCGGAAGAGCCAGCGAGAUGUCACUGUGGUGGUUGUUGGUGACAGAGUCCCAUUAUACGGCUCUGGGUCGAGCUUGCAAAUGACACCGCCACCCACAGGAAACAACACUAGUAAAGCAAGCAGCAUACCGCCGCCGCAGCUGGGGCUUAGCUUCACGGUGCGGUCGACGGCCUAUGUAUUAGGCAAGCUAGUUAAGCCGAAAUUCUACACGAGGAUUCAAUGCUUGGUCGUGAUGGACCAGAAGAAGCUUAACAAGCCGCUUUCCCUAGCAAAAUCAUGCCAGUAUGACUGAGCGGAAGAGUGGCGCAUCAAAUGAUGCAAACUUGAACUUUUGGUGAAGGUAGCUGGAGAUUAUCUGGGAGCCAGGCUGGAUUGCAAGUUGGAGGACUUUUGGAGCUGUUUGGAAAUAAAGUGGAAGGUUCCUGCUCACAUGCUUUUAUUUGUUUAUUUGUGGGAAAUGUUUUUUUUAGUGGGUAGGUUUUUGUAUGCAAGCAUUUCAGGUAAGGUAGGUACAUGAGUUGUCGGUGGAUUAAUUAUGGGAGUAAAUAGUGUAUACAGUUG
rnacentral:misc_RNA from 1 species